rnacentral:rRNA from 1 species
UUAAGUUAGAAAGGGCGCACGGUGGAUGCCUUGACACUAGGAGUCGAUGAAGGACGGGACUAACGCCGAUAUGCUUCGGGGAGCUGUAAGUAAGCUUUGAUCCGAAGAUUUCCGAAUGGGGAAACCCACCAUACGUAAUGGUAUGGUAUCCUUAUCUGAAUACAUAGGGUAAGGAAGACAGACCCAGGGAACUGAAACAUCUAAGUACCUGGAGGAAGAGAAAGCAAAUGCGAUUUCCUGAGUAGCGGCGAGCGAAACGGAACAUAGCCCAAACCAAGAGGCUUGCCUCUUGGGGUUGUAGGACAUUCUAUACGGAGUUACAAAGGAACGAGGUAGACGAAGCGACCUGGAAAGGUCCGUCGUAGAGGGUAACAACCCCGUAGUCGAAACUUCGUUCUCUCUUGAAUGUAUCCUGAGUACGGCGGAACACGUGAAAUUCCGUCGGAAUCUGGGAGGACCAUCUCCCAAGGCUAAAUACUCCCUAGUGAUCGAUAGUGAACCAGUACCGUGAGGGAAAGGUGAAAAGCACCCCGGAAGGGGAGUGAAAGAGAUCCUGAAACCGUGUGCCUACAAAUAGUCAGAGCCCGUUAACGGGUGAUGGCGUGCCUUUUGUAGAAUGAACCGGCGAGUUACGAUCCCGUGCGAGGUUAAGCUGAAGAGGCGGAGCCGCAGCGAAAGCGAGUCUGAAUAGGGCGUUUAGUACGUGGUCGUAGACCCGAAACCAGGUGAUCUACCCAUGUCCAGGGUGAAGUUCAGGUAACACUGAAUGGAGGCCCGAACCCACGCACGUUGAAAAGUGCGGGGAUGAGGUGUGGGUAGCGGAGAAAUUCCAAUCGAACCUGGAGAUAGCUGGUUCUCCCCGAAAUAGCUUUAGGGCUAGCCUUAAGUGUAAGAGUCUUGGAGGUAGAGCACUGAUUGGACUAGGGGUCCUCAUCGGAUUACCGAAUUCAGUCAAACUCCGAAUGCCAAUGACUUAUCCUUAGGAGUCAGACUGCGAGUGAUAAGAUCCGUAGUCAAAAGGGAAACAGCCCAGACCGCCAGCUAAGGUCCCAAAGUGUGUAUUAAGUGGAAAAGGAUGUGGAGUUGCUUAGACAACUAGGAUGUUGGCUUAGAAGCAGCCACCAUUUAAAGAGUGCGUAAUAGCUCACUAGUCGAGUGACUCUGCGCCGAAAAUGUACCGGGGCUAAAUACACCACCGAAGCUGCGGAUUGAUACCAAUGGUAUCAGUGGUAGGGGAGCGUUCUAAGGACAGUGAAGUCAGACCGUAAGGACUGGUGGAGUGCUUAGAAGUGAGAAUGCCGGUAUGAGUAGCGAAAGACGGGUGAGAAUCCCGUCCACCGAAUGCCUAAGGUUUCCUGAGGAAGGCUCGUCCGCUCAGGGUUAGUCAGGACCUAAGCCGAGGCCGACAGGCGUAGGCGAUGGACAACAGGUUGAUAUUCCUGUACCACCUCUUUAUCGUUUGAGCAAUGGAGGGACGCAGAAGGAUAGAAGAAGCGUGCGAUUGGUUGUGCACGUCCAAGCAGUUAGGCUGAUAAGUAGGCAAAUCCGCUUAUCGUGAAGGCUGAGCUGUGAUGGGGAAGCUCCUUAUGGAGCGAAGUCUUUGAUUCCCCGCUGCCAAGAAAAGCUUCUAGCGAGAUAAAAGGUGCCUGUACCGCAAACCGACACAGGUAGGCGAGGAGAGAAUCCUAAGGUGUGCGAGAGAACUCUGGUUAAGGAACUCGGCAAAAUGACCCCGUAACUUCGGGAGAAGGGGUGCUUUCUUAACGGAAAGCCGCAGUGAAUAGGCCCAAGCGACUGUUUAGCAAAAACACAGCUCUCUGCGAAGCCGUAAGGCGAAGUAUAGGGGGUGACACCUGCCCGGUGCUGGAAGGUUAAGGAGAGGGGUUAGCGUAAGCGAAGCUCUGAACUGAAGCCCCAGUAAACGGCGGCCGUAACUAUAACGGUCCUAAGGUAGCGAAAUUCCUUGUCGGGUAAGUUCCGACCCGCACGAAAGGUGUAACGAUUUGGGCACUGUCUCAACCAGAGACUCGGUGAAAUUAUAGUACCUGUGAAGAUGCAGGUUACCCGCGACAGGACGGAAAGACCCCGUGGAGCUUUACUGUAGCCUGAUAUUGAAUUUUGGUACAGUUUGUACAGGAUAGGCGGGAGCCAUUGAAACCGGAGCGCUAGCUUCGGUGGAGGCGCUGGUGGGAUACCGCCCUGACUGUAUUGAAAUUCUAACCUACGGGUCUUAUCGACCCGGGAGACAGUGUCAGGUGGGCAGUUUGACUGGGGCGGUCGCCUCCUAAAGUGUAACGGAGGCGCCCAAAGGUUCCCUCAGAAUGGUUGGAAAUCAUUCGUAGAGUGCAAAGGCAUAAGGGAGCUUGACUGCGAGACCUACAAGUCGAGCAGGGACGAAAGUCGGGCUUAGUGAUCCGGUGGUUCCGCAUGGAAGGGCCAUCGCUCAACGGAUAAAAGCUACCCCGGGGAUAACAGGCUUAUCUCCCCCAAGAGUCCACAUCGACGGGGAGGUUUGGCACCUCGAUGUCGGCUCAUCGCAUCCUGGGGCUGUAGUCGGUCCCAAGGGUUGGGCUGUUCGCCCAUUAAAGCGGUACGCGAGCUGGGUUCAGAACGUCGUGAGACAGUUCGGUCCCUAUCCGUCGUGGGCGUAGGAAAUUUGAGAGGAGCUGUCCUUAGUACGAGAGGACCGGGAUGGACGCACCGCUGGUGUACCAGUUGUUCUGCCAAGGGCAUAGCUGGGUAGCUAUGUGCGGAAGGGAUAAGUGCUGAAAGCAUCUAAGCAUGAAGCCCCCCUCAAGAUGAGAUUUCCCAUAGCGUAAGCUAGUAAGAUCCCUGAAAGAUGAUCAGGUUGAUAGGUUCGAGGUGGAAGCAUGGUGACAUGUGGAGCUGACGAAUACUAAUAGAUCGAGGACUUAACC